CUCGUGUAGGGACCUUGAUGGGAAGGUGACACCUGAGGAAGUCGCUGCUGCUGCUUUGUAUUUGAAAAAUACUCUGGACAAGGAGGGUAUUCAAGAACUAAUCAGCAAUCUAUCUAAAGAUAUAGAUGGGAAGAUUCUCGUGGAAGACAUUGUCAGGUUGGGCAGUCGGACAGAUGAUACUAAUGCUGCUGAAGACGGUGCAAGGUGAUGUCCCAAACUCACUGUUGGCUGCUCCGCGAUCCUCAGGUCUUUAAGAGCAGCUUGGCUGACUGAUAAAUGUCGGUCUGUUGAUCUUUCGAUUAGUUUCUACACAAGCUUAAAUCUUAGUGGAUAGUGUAAUAUUCUUUCUGCUUGUUGAUUUAACCUUCCUUGGGCGUUGUUUUUGCUAUGAUGCCCAUUAUGGGAGCUUUACUUCGUAUGUGUAGAGGUAAACUUAGCUCGAGUCAUUGGAAGGUGGCUGUAUAUUUGGUCAUGUGAACGGGGAUACUGAUCUUAAAUUUGUAUGUAAACAAAGAAAAUAAUCGGAGCUCUUUUGCAUCAAUAAUUACUAAACAAGAAAUUUUGUUAAA